rnacentral:rRNA from 1 species
GACAGAGGAGCCAAGCGUUGUCCGGAUUGACUGGGCGUAAAGCGCACGCAGGCGGCUGGGCGCGUGCGGUGUGAAAGCGGGGGGCUUAACCCCCUGAGGCCACCGCAUACGGCCCGGCUCGAGGCAGGCAGAGGUUCGUGGAAUUGCCGGUGUAGUGGUGAAAUGCGUAGAGAUCGGCAGGAACACCAAGGGGGAAACCAGCGAACUGGGCCUGACCUGACGCUCAGGUGCGAAAGCGUGGGGAGCGAACCGG